AUGGUCUCAUGAUCACCUCAUGUACUAAAAUUGAAAUGAUACAAAGAUUAGCAUGCCCCUGUAGAAAGAGAGCAUGCAAUUUCAUGAAAUGUCCAUGUUUUUU
ensembl:snRNA U6 U6 spliceosomal RNA